rnacentral:rRNA from 1 species
ACGAAGGGAGCUAGCGUUGUUCGGAAUCACUGGGCGUAAAGCGCACGUAGGCGGAUUGUUUAGUCGGGGGUGAAAUCCCGGGGCUCAACCCCGGAACUGCCUCCGAUACUGGCAAUCUGGAGUCCGGAAGAGGUGGGUGGAAUUCCUAGUGUAGAGGUGAAAUUCUUAGAUAUUAGGAAGAACACCGGUGGCGAAGGCGGCCCACUGGUCCGGUACUGACGCUGAGGUGCGAAAGCGUGGGGAGCAAACAGG